rnacentral:sRNA from 1 species
AGAGGAAAGCGGAGGAGGCGCUCAGCUGCAUCACCUGCAACCUGCGCUCAGCGACGAGAUUAAUUUCCUCCGUGGGGCAGAGAGGACGGUAGCGGAGGCGGUGCUCGCUCCCUCCCGGUUCCCCCACGACCUGAGCGACUGAUGCGACCUCCUUCCCACUCGUUCAGAUCCCUCCCCUGCAACUUGGUUUGGACGGAUUGCAUCUCUCUCUCUCUCUCUCUCUCUCUCUCUCUCCCCUAUUCCUCUUUUCCCCAAAUUUCUCUCUAUUUUCUACCUUCCUGAGAUUCAUACCGGAGCAUCCUGUCAGCGGCACCCACGACCUUGCCCAGCCGCCGCUGCAUCAAACACUUCCGGCUCCAGCGCAGCCGCGCCUCCAACGUGUGUGCUGACUUCCUCGGAGACAAGAGCUUUACUCUUUACUCUUUAUUAUUAUUAUUAUUAUUAUUAUUAUUAUUAUUAUUAUUAUUAUUAUUAUUAUUAUUAUUAUUAUUAUUAUUAUUGUUCGUUCCUUUACAGAUUUUGCAAGUUUUCCCUUUCAUCGCACAAUCAGUUGAUCUCAGUCAGUAACAUGCUUGUUGGUUGUCCACACAGUUUGUCAAUAUAAGCCUUCUUAAAUUUUUUGAAAGUUCACUGGUCAGAGGCUUUUCACUGACUAAUUAGGUUAGGAACAGCAAGGUACAGAAAUUACUAAAUGGAGUUAGAUUCAGCCAGUGCCCACUGCCUAGUGUUUAUUGAUCAAUUAAUCUACCACCUCCUCUUUGUGACCUCUUGUUUGCUAUUCACAUUCACCCAUAUGGUCACUUACUCACAAAUCUGCCAGCAGCUGAUCUCCCAAAAUAACUGGUGCAUACUAUACUAGCUAGUUAAAGAAGAAUACUUUUGUUGGCAUUGACCACUCUGAUGAUCUCAUUAGUACAUUCCUUGUUGAGGAUCUCGAUUCAUAUAUGAUUCUUGUUGAUAACUUCUAUCAACUUUUUGCUGACAUCAUAGUAAUUUUUAAAAUUUUCAGGUUCAGCAGAGUACUUACUUGCUAGGCUAACAUUUUGCUGAAUUUUCAGGCUCACUAGAGCAGCACAAACGAUUUUCUUUUUAUCGGUACUGGAUCAGAUAGCUGUCACUUUGAUUUUCAUACAUAAGUACAUACUUUUGUGAUCUUUUUCCCAUGUACAAUUCAACAUAUCUAGUUAGAACUUAAUUACAAGGACGUGUCUUACACAUAUGUAUGUCAUCAUUAAUUAAAACCUGUAUGUUCUGUCUCUGAUGAUAUGCACUGGAGACAUAUACCGAUCACAUAGGACAUUGAUUUUGAUUUUUACUUACAUGCCUUAUGAUAUUUCAUUUUGGUAGAUACCAUGUGGGAUAAUAUCAAUUUGGAAACGACAUUUUUUUUCCGAGAUAUCAUUCUACAAAUAUCAUUUGUGUUGUGGCUGGGAGAUUCACCUCCUUCAAUAUAUAACUAAAUUCCAUAUAGAGGAUGGUGAAAGCCACAGCUUCCCCUCAAUCCCUUAUAAUGGUUGAUCCUACUGCACACAGUUCUUCAGGCUGCUGUCAUCAAGUAAUGCUGGGUUGUGUAAUAGAACAGUGGAAAAUGUAUCUAGUAUAUGAUCCAAAUGUACUAUGAGGAAAAUGUUUGUUGUAUAUAUAAGUAUAUACAUGUAUUUUGCGUCCAAGAUGUGUAUCGGAGCUUAGACGGUUGUCAGCCAUUUUUCUAGUCUAGGGAUGAUAUGUGUAAUUUUUGUGGCAAUCCCUACGUGUGGGUAGAGAUUGAACUGGAGAGAUAUUUUCAAAGUUUGCAUU